rnacentral:rRNA from 1 species
AUGCAGCGACGCCGCGUGAGGGAUGACGGCCUAUCGGGUUGUAAACCUCUUUCAGCAGGGAAGAAGCGAGAGUGACGGUACCUGCAGAAGAAGCGCCGGCUAACUACGUGCCAGCAGCCGCGGUAAUACGUAGGGCGCAAGCGUUGUCCGGAAUUAUUGGGCGUAAAGAGCUCGUAGGCGGCUUGUCGCGUCGGAUGUGAAAGCCCGGGGCUUAACCCCGGGUCUGCAUUCGAUACGGGCAGGCUAGAGUUCGGUAGGGGAGAUCGGAAUUCCUGGUGUAGCGGUGAAAUGCGCAGAUAUCAGGAGGAACACCGGUGGCGAAGGCGGAUCUCUGGGCCGAUACUGACGCUGAGGAGCGAAAGCGUGGGGAGCGAACAGGAUUAGAUACCCUGGUAGUCCACGCCGUAAACGUUGGGAACUAGGUGUGGGCGACAUUCCACGUCGUCCGUGCCGCAGCUAACGCAUUAAGUUCCCCGCCUGGGGAGUACGGCCGCAAGGCUAAAACUCAAAGGAAUUGACGGGGGCCCGCACAAGCAGCGGAGCAUGUGGCUUAAUUCGACGCAACGCGAAGAACCUUACCAAGGCUUGACAUACACCGGAAAACGUCUGGAGACAGGCGCCCCCUUGUG